GAUGAACGCUGACAGAAUGCUUAACACAUGCAAGUCAACUUGAAUUUGGGUUUUUACCUUAGGUUUGGGUGGCGGACGGGUGAGUAACGCGUAAAGAACUUGCCUCACAGCUAGGGACAACAUUUGGAAACGAAUGCUAAUACCUAAUAUUAUGAUAAUAGGGCAUCCUAUAAUUAUGAAAGCUAUAAGCGCUGUGAGAGAGCUUUGCGUCCCAUUAGCUAGUUGGAGAGGUAACGGCUCACCAAGGCGAUGAUGGGUAGCCGGCCUGAGAGGGUGAUCGGCCACAAGGGGACUGAGACACGGCCCUUACUCCUACGGGAGGCAGCAGUGGGGAAUAUUGGACAAUGGACCGAGAGUCUGAUCCAGCAAUUCUGUGUGCACGAUGAAGUUUUUCGGAAUGUAAAGUGCUUUCAGUUGGGAAGAAACAAAUGAGGUACCAACAGAAGAAGUGACGGCUAAAUACGUG
rnacentral:rRNA from 1 species